AUGAGAAACCUAAAUCCUAAUGUGAAUAGACCCUACUAUGGAGGUGUCUGUUGGGUAGCUGGCUUCCUCCUGCUAUUGGGUGGAUGCAGAGUGCCAGAUUUGCAGUUAGCCCAGGAUAUAAACUUUGGAGCUGCUGAGCUUCAAUUAGACGAUGUCAUAGUUUUUGAGUGUUUGUUCAAUGUGUCAUCUGUGAGUGAUCAUGUUUCAUCUCUUCCCACAACUUGUUCUAAAUUCAGCAAAUUUCUAAGGUAA